CAAGAUCACUGUAGAAAGAGGGCAUGAGAAGCUCCAGGUGCAAAGCAGGAGCUCCCUUCAGCCCAGGAGGGGCUUGUGGAGGACCCAUGGGAACCACACAAAACAGACCUCCACAUUCAGCCAGGGAGGAGCCCAUGUUGCAGCAAUGGAUAAGACCUGAAUGAGGUACAGCCCACAGCAGCAGUCCCAGGCUGGAGCCCUGGAGAGGAACCCUCAGUGGGGCAGGAGGGCUGGGGGGAACUGCCACCCAUAGAGACAGUAGUGGAGGAGUGCCUGGAGUGUGGGCCCCAUGGUAUGGAGCUGUGCUGGAUCAGUGUUGGGAGAGCUGCCACCUGAGAAACCCACCUAGUACCAGUUUGGCAAGAAGGUGGUCUUGUGGGAGGAAUCCAUGUGGAGUAGCAGCAGAGUGACCACGAAGGAGCAGGAAAGAAAAAGUGUUAUGGACUAACUGCAACUCCCAUUCUCUUCUUUUUAGCUUGUUUUUAGUUUGUACUGCUCUGGUCUGUUGUGGUUUGGUGAUUUUUUGUUGUCAAUAUUCCACAUCACAUAACCACAUGAACCAGUGGAAGUUAAAGAGUUAACGUUCUGGUUCCGUUUACUGCCUCCGAUGGGCGUUUGAGUAUUCCGAUAGGUGGGGAGGGGUGCCAUUCCCAGAGGACCUGGCGUGGAGAGGAAGCGAGGUGGAGCUCUGGACGGGAGGCCGUCCGUCUCUCUUUCGGGGCAGCUGAGCACGCUGAGGAGAGAGGGCACGUGCUUACCCUGCAUUUUGGUGGAAUCACAAAUACUGGGAAAAAAGGUUGGGAGCCUUCCAACUGUUCAUCAUAAUCAACACAUUCAUGUUGAUCAGAAGGCCACACCUACCCGGACAAAAUUCACAGUCUUGCUGUGAAUCACACCAUGGAGUAAACUCUUCAAAGAGAACGAAGACAGAAUUUCUUUCAUGGAUCAAGGAGGAAAGUGCUAUGACAGUGGAACAACAUUACCAUCAUCCUCAC
rnacentral:lncRNA from 1 species